CAGACCUUGUGACUCCUGCCAGAAGUUGAACAGUUUGUCUCGAGGUGAGGGAGGCCACACUGGAGUGUUGCUCCACUCCACUCUGGAAAGACUGACUGCAUGGAACUUGUGACCCCCUCCCAGGACUAUUGGUGGUAUUUCAGCACUGUUGAUACAUUUUCAGUUUUCAUUGUUGCUGUUCUAGUCUGUUUAUCUGACUCUGGGGCAUUCCGUGGGAUAGACAAAUGCCACUCAGCUGGUGGUAUGAACCUAAAUGACAGGUUGGACCCACUGACCUCAAGCAACCUCUCCAAAACAAGGAUUGAUUACAUUAUUCACAGUGCACUGGAAACCCUGGUGUUUACCAGCCAGCUAGGAGGCCACAUUGGAGACCCUGGCAAAUUUUUCACAAAAACUGGUUCACGGCUUUGUUUCUUUCCAGAAAUACCAUCUCUUGCAGGAUUGCUCCUUCGUGGAUUCUCUUCGCCCCUCUAAGGAUGCCUGCCACAGCACAACUUGACAGGUGGUGCAUAGAUCUGCACCCGGGAUCCAAAUCUGCGAACCCUGAGCCGCCAAAGUGGAAUGUGUGAACUUAACCGCUGGACCACCAAGCUGGCCCCAACUUAUUUUAUUUUUUGCAGUAUUUUUUAAUCGAAAUACGUUUGAUAUAUUGUGUAAUUUAAG
rnacentral:lncRNA from 1 species